AAAACAUUUCGCUUACACCGAAAACAUAUCUGUUGAACUCAGAUCAUUUUGAGCCAAAAACUCA
rnacentral:tRNA from 1 species